AGAGUUUGAUCCUGGCUCAGGAUGAACGCUGGCGGCGUGCCUAAUACAUGCAAGUCGAACGCUUCACUUCGGUGAAGAGUGGCGAACGGGUGAGUAAUACAUAAGUAACCUGGCAUCUACAGGGGGAUAACUGAUGGAAACGUCAGCUAAGACCGCAUAGGUGUAGAGAUCGCAUGAACUCUAUAUGAAAAGUGCUACGGGACUGGUAGAUGAUGGACUUAUGGCGCAUUAGCUUGUUGGUAGGGUAACGGCCUACCAAGGCGACGAUGCGUAGCCGACCUGAGAGGGUGACCGGCCACACUGGGACUGAGACACGGCCCAGACUCCUACGGGAGGCAGCAGUAGGGAAUCUUCGGCAAUGGGGGCAACCCUGACCGAGCAACGCCGCGUGAGUGAAGAAGGUUUUCGGAUCGUAAAGCUCUGUUGUAAGUCAAGAACGGGUGUGAGAGUGGAAAGUUCACACUGUGACGGUAGCUUACCAGAAAGGGACGGCUAACUACGUGCCAGCAGCCGCGGUAAUACGUAGGUCCCGAGCGUUGUCCGGAUUUAUUGGGCGUAAAGCGAGCGCAGGCGGUUUGAUAAGUCUGAAGUUAAAGGCUGUGGCUCAACCAUAGUUCGCUUUGGAAACUGUCAAACUUGAGUGCAGAAGGGGAGAGUGGAAUUCCAUGUGUAGCGGUGAAAUGCGUAGAUAUAUGGAGGAACACCGGUGGCGAAAGCGGCUCUCUGGUCUGUAACUGACGCUGAGGCUCGAAAGCGUGGGGAGCGAACAGGAUUAGAUACCCUGGUAGUCCACGCCGUAAACG
rnacentral:rRNA from 1 species